UGACCGCUGGCGGCAUGCUUUACACAUGCAAGUCGAACGGUAACAGGCCUUCGGGUGCUGACGAGUGGCGAACGGGUGAGUCAUUCAUCGGAACGUACCCAGAGGUGGGGGAUAACGCAGCGAAAGCUGUGCUAAUACCGCAUGUGAUCUUAGGAUGAAAGCGGGGGACCGAGCAGCAAUGUUUGGCCUCGCGCCUUUGGAGCGGCCGAUGUCGGAUUAGCUAGUUGGUGGGGUAAAGGCCUACCAAGGCGACGAUCCGUAGCUGGUCUGAGAGGACGACCAGCCACACUGGGACUGAGACACGGCCCAGACUCCUACGGGAGGCAGCAGUGGGGAAUUUUGGACAAUGGGCGCAAGCCUGAUCCAGCAAUGCCGCGUGCGGGAAGAAGGCCUUCGGGUUGUAAACCGCUUUUGGCAGGAACGAAACGGUGUCCGCUAAUACCGGGCGCUAAUGACGGUACCUGCAGAAUAAGCACCGGCUAACUACGUG
rnacentral:rRNA from 1 species